rnacentral:rRNA from 1 species
ACGCUCGACACCUCGGGAGCAGCAGUGGGGAAUAUUGCACAAUGGGGGAAACCCUGAUGCAGCGACGCCGCGUGAAGGAAGAAGUAUUUCGGUAUGUAAACUUCUAUCAGCAGGGAAGAAAAUGACGGUACCUGAGUAAGAAGCACCGGCUAAAUACGUGCCAGCAGCCGACGGUAAUCUGAGCGGGCUGGCAAGGC